GUUUGCUGUGGUUAAGGGAGCCAGAAACAUUGCCUAGCUGAGCUGCAGUGGGAACAACCUUGGAGAUUGGAGUGUUGAUCCAUUGACUACCUUGGUCAGUGGGUUCACUCACUCUUCUGCUGCCAUCUGCAAGGUACUGGUGGCAGGGAAGACCUCUGGCUCCCCUUCUCUGCACCAGCUUUGGUCCUCUCCCGAUUGCCCCAUUUGGGGACCAGAAAUACAGUUCUUCAGGCUCCCUUCAUGAAUCCAGAGGGAGCAGGAGCUCUGGAAACAUGUCUUCUUCUCCCUUGCUCCAUUUGGAGGUGUCUCCACACCUGCGGAGGAUGCUAACAUUGAUACAUCUGUCUUCCCACUGGAUUUGGAGGAUCUGCUGUGGGCAGCACUGAUGGUACUUCUCCAACAACUUUAGAUGUCUCCUGUACAUUGUCCAUGUCUCAGCUCUGUACAACAAGAGUUUCCAGGCAUACCUUAAAAAGAAGAAACAUCAGGUGGUGGUAAAUGGUGUCACCACUCCAGGGCUCCACAUGUGAUGGAUACAUAAAAGUGUUUCUCUCUCAUGCUUUUCAACAAACAUAUGAAUUUUCUUGAUUAAAUUAUUUUGAAACACUAGUUACAGAUGCCGAUAGCACAUAAUGUCUCUUGCCUGGUGGACCUAUAUAGUCAACCUCUGUUUUGGAAAAAGGUGUGGAGCUAUCUCCUUUUGUGCAAAAAAGAAAAGUUUUGUUCUUUUUUUAUAAUAUCUACACAAAAAAGCUUAUCUAUCCUCCAUGCUCCUACUUGUUAAGAUGCUGUCUUCAGAAUAGCCAAAUCAAGUUACUUUUGAUCAGGUGUUUCCCUUUAAAGUCCUGUGUUAGACAAUGUAAGAUUUAAGCCUAGUGUAGUAACAUAGUUAAAAGCUAUUUAGGUUUUCACAGGUCUCUCAGUUGGACUCCCCUGUUCUCUUCUGCUUGUUCAGAAUGCAAUAACAAUAGCAAGACAUACUACUCACUUGAGUUGUCAAAUAGAAAAUAUUCUAUUUAUUAUUGCAUUGCCAGUGGCUACCAAUAUUCCAAGGACUUGAAUACUUGUUUCUUUUUGCCCAUAUUCUACUGCCAUCCUUGGAAGCACAUAAUCAAAACCUAAGAACAUUCCAUAUGGUAUAAGGUAAUAAAAUACCUGUUGUAUCCAGCGACCACUGAAUUCUGUGUAGAAUUGGAGUUACUUGUCUCUAGCUAUCAUGGGAAUUAAUUCAUUUCUGUUCAUUAGAAGCUACAUUGUUCAGAUCUCAUAUCUACUGGUGAGCAUUUUUACUAGAAGUCUCAUUGGCUGAUGUUCUGAGCAAGUGCUAAUUAAUGUUAGCAAGGGCUGAAUCAAAUGUACAAUAAAAACCAUCAUAACAGUUCCAACAGAAAACGGAUUUAAAUUAAUUAGCUCUUUCUGUUCUUAAGUCUUUUUAUUCACUGAUAGAUGUAAUGUUCAUAUUCAUUUAAAGAGACUAUCCAAAAACCAAAUGCAUUUUUGUAGCAUUUAUAAUUAACACAAAAUCGUGGCCAAACAGCGUUUGCUCAUUUAACAAGCCAAGUGGAAAUUGUCCAAGGUCAAUAAAGACCUGGCCAUGUAGAAUGCUUCCAGGCUGAAUAAACUUGAUAAAAGUAAAUACAUAAGUUAGCUAAAGCAAGUAAAAGUAUUUCUCUCUGUAUUUUGCAAGGCUGUAUGUUUUUUAAAUAUCGUUUCUAAUUCCAUGUUUUAAUUACUUUUCAUCUCGUUCUUUGGGAAUAAGAGUGCUACUUUGUUUGUUUCCAUUUCCAUGUGCUUAUUCAAUCCUCAAAAUGAAUAUUAAAUUUAUUUCAGCUUAAAACCACCUAAAUCAUUUUGUUUUAGAGUACAUCAGUUAGAUUAGGUUUCAACUUGUACUGCCAGAACUCAUCUUAGUCUGGCUAAAUUGUGUGCCAUAUCAUAGUUUUAAUAAAGUGACAGCAAAUGUUUAAUUGGUCUUUUUUCUGUUUACCAUCCAGAGUUUUCUCAGAUGAAUCGAACUGUGAUUAAUUUGCCCAGAACACUGCUGUUUUGUACUAAAAUUAGAUAAGGGCACUUUCUGAUUUUCUUGUAAAUUAAAGAGCUUUCUUUGAUUUAUCAUCUACUGUUAGAAACACAAGUUAAGUCUGUCUUAAUUAGGUUGCUUAAGACUGGACAAAGUGCCUGUGGGA